rnacentral:rRNA from 1 species
ACAAUGCGGGACUGUUAGUCUUAUCGAUAAGCCAUUGGAGGGCAAGUCUGGUGCCAGCAGCCGCGGUAAUUCCAGCUCCAAUAGCGUAUAUUAACGUUGUUGCAGUUAAAAAGCUCGUAGUUGAAGUGAGGGAGUGUGUGUUCAUGAGAGCUAGUCUCGAGUGUUCACAACCUCCCCCCUCCAAUCGGUGUAGUGGGGUAUUCAGUUAUUUCACUACUCCUUUGGUCGUUUACUGUGAGAAAAUUAGAGUGUUCAAAGCGGGCGUUUGUUUGAAUAGAUUAGCAUGGAAUAAUGAUUGAAGGCUUUCGUGUUCGAUUUGAUUGGUUUGUUCAUGGAAGCAAGGUUAAAAGGAACAGUUGGGGGUAUUCAUAUUCACUAGUUAGAGGUGAAAUUCUCGGAUUUAUGGAA